rnacentral:rRNA from 1 species
UAGGGAAUCUUCCGCAAUGGACGCAAGUCUGACGGAGCAACGCCGCGUGAGUGAAGAAGGAUUUCGGUUCGUAAAACUCUGUUGUUAGAGAAGAACAGCGCAUAGAGUAACUGUUAUGCGUGUGACGGUAUCUAACCAGAAAGCCACGGCUAACUACGUGCCAGCAGCCGCGGUAAUACGUAGGUGGCAAGCGUUGUCCGGAUUUAUUGGGCGUAAAGCGAGCGCAGGCGGUCAAUUAAGUCUGAUGUGAAAGCCCCCGGCUCAACCGGGGAGGGUCAUUGGAAACUGGUUGACUUGAGUGCAGAAGAGGAGAGUGGAAUUCCAUGUGUAGCGGUGAAAUGCGUAGAUAUAUGGAGGAACACCAGUGGCGAAGGCGACUCUCUGGUCUGUAACUGACGCUGAGGCUCGACAGCGUGGGUAGCAAACAGG